GGGCGCAUGGUCAAGUGGUUCAAAACGACCCGGUUGGGGUGAUAAUGUCUAAACACCAAUUCCUUCCUUGCUACAACUCGCUGCUUACAUGGAGUGCUGUACUGUCAGUGUUAGGUGCGGCAUCGCGCUUGGCUUCUGCGGUUGCCUUCCAAGGGGCGGGGGGAGAGGUGUGAGGGUAUUGAUCUGAUGCGGUGUAAAACCCAGGUUCGAAUCCUGGUGUGCCUA
rnacentral:tRNA from 1 species